CGCAGACAGCUUUCAACAAGCGCUGGGGCUGGCUACCAUGUCACAUCUGGGACUGGCAGAUCUACUUACUAGUGGGACAUGGACCUCAGCUCCGGGAUGAGGGGCAAACGGAAGACGUCUUGCUUAACCAAUUCCACUUCACACGGGGGUUUCAUAGCAGAUGCUCCAACUUUACGUUACCAAUUGACUAGCCUUUAAGAUUGUUUUAGUUUAGAUUUGUUUUUAAUCAUAAAUGUUUUUAUGCACACACUUCGCCACCAUAGAAG